UACGAAGGGGGCUAGCGUUGCUCGGAAUGACUGGGCGUAAAGGGCGCGUAGGCGGUUUGUACAGUCAGGUGUGAAAUUCCCGGGCUCAACCUGGGGGCUGCACUUGAUACGUAUGGACUGGAGUGGGGAAGAGGGUCGUGGAAUUCCCAGUGUAGAGGUGAAAUUCGUAGAUAUUGGGAAGAACACCGGUGGCGAAGGCGGCGACCUGGUCCUUGACUGACGCUGAGGAGCGAAAGCGUGGGGAGCGAACAGG
rnacentral:rRNA from 1 species